GAUUUACACCAUCUAUGAUCUUAAUGGAACAGAGGAACAUAUUUAUAUUAGAAGUGCAGUCGAGGAUUUAAGAUGAGUUUGUGUCCACUGUGGUUGCUGGCCCCAUGGUCAGGCCCUCCGUCUCUCUGCUUCCCCCCUCCUCUGAGCAGCUCUCCGGGGGCUCGGCCACGCUGGCCUGUCUGCUGACCGGCUACUCUCCUCAGGGAGCCGCGGUGCGCUGGGAGGUGGACGGUACGGAGGUGACAGAGGGGGUCCUGAGCAGCUCGGAGGAGGAGAGGAGCGGACGCUACAGCAGCAGCAGCACCCUGAGCCUGAGCAGGGAGCGCUGGAUGGAAGGAGAGCUGUACACCUGCAAGGUCCUCCAUCAUGACCACAGCCAGACCCAGUCCCUCCACAGGAGCCAGUGUAAGGCCUAGAGGGGCCGACUGAAGCCCAGGACAGGAGCUGUGUGUGGGAGGGAGCAGGAGGAACACACCUGCUGCUCUGAUCAGUCUGAGUCUGAAUGUUUGUAGAGGAAACUAAAGCUUUGUGUGACAGAGAACAACACUGCUGUAAAGUGUUGGACAGCAACAACUUAGAGAGUGAUGUGUGUAGCUCAGCAGCUUGAUGUCAGUGUGCUUAAUAACUGUCAUGAUGAUGAUUCAUGUUUCUGCCAAUAAAGCUUCAACUGAUAAAAAAGA